GAGGGUACAGCUUAGUGGUAGAGCACAUGCUUUGCAUGCAUAAGGUCCUGGGUUCAAUCCCCAGUACCUCCU
rnacentral:tRNA from 1 species